rnacentral:lncRNA from 1 species
UGAUAUUGGGUGUACUUGGGUUUUGGGAAGUGAGUGAAACACUUGAGUGAACUUAUAAUUCUCUUUUAUCAUAAUGGUAAUAUAAAUGUUGCUCUUCAACCGUGGAAGUAGGCAAAUUGCUGAACCACGUUAAUUUUUCGGUGGCAUUUUCUCUAUUAUAUUUUCUCCAUGAGUCUUCCGCUACAACAAACCUUACACACAAC